AGUGAACGCUGGCGGUAGGCCUAACACAUGCAAGUCGAACGGCAGCACAGUAAGAGCUUGCUCUUACGGGUGGCGAGUGGCGGACGGGUGAGGAAUACAUCGGAAUCUACUUUUUCGGGGGGGAUAACGAAGGGAAACUUACGCUAAUACCGCAUACGAACUACGGGUGAAAGCAGGGGAUCUUCGGACCUUGCGCGAGUGAAUGAGCCGAUGUCGGAUUAGCUAGUUGGCGGGGUAAAGGCCCACCAAGGCGACGAUCCGUAGCUGGUCUGAGAGGAUGAUCAGCCACACUGGAACUGAGACACGGUCCAGACUCCUACGGGAGGCAGCAGUGGGGAAUAUUGGACAAUGGGCGCAAGCCUGAUCCAGCCAUACCGCGUGGGUGAAGAAGGCCUUCGGGUUGUAAAGCCCUUUUGUUGGGAAAGAAAAGCAGCAGGUUAAUACCCCGCUGUUCUGACGGUACCCAAAGAAUAAGCACCGGCUAACUUCGUG
rnacentral:rRNA from 1 species